rnacentral:rRNA from 1 species
UACGUAGGGUCCGAGCGUUGUCCGGAAUUACUGGGCGUAAAGAGUUUGUAGGCGGUUUUCCGCGUUGUUCGUGAAAACUCACAGCUCAACUGUGGGCGUGCGGGCGAUACGGGCAGACUAGAGUACUGUAGGGGAGACUGGAAUUCCUGGUGUAGCGGUGGAAUGCGCAGAUAUCGGGAGGAACACCAGAGGCGAAGGCGGGUCUCUGGGCAGAAACUGACGCUGAGGAACGAAAGCGUGGGGAGCAAACAGG